rnacentral:rRNA from 1 species
AGAGUUUGAUCAUGGCUCAGGACGAACGCUGGCGGCGCGCCUAACACAUGCAAGUCGAACGAGAGAUGAAGAGCUUGCUCUUCAAAUCGAGUGGCGAACGGGUGAGUAACGCGUGAGGAACCUGCCUCAAAGAGGGGGACAACAGUUGGAAACGACUGCUAAUACCGCAUAAGCCCACGGCUCGGCAUCGAGCAGAGGGAAAAGGAGCAAUCCGCUUUGAGAUGGCCUCGCGUCCGAUUAGCUAGUUGGUGAGGUAACGGCCACAAGGCGACGAUCGGUAGCCGGACUGAGAGGUUGAACGGCCACGAUUGGGACUGAGACACGGCCCAGACUCCUACGGGAGGCA